UACGUAGGGAGCAAGCGUUGUCCGGAAUCAUUGGGCGUAAAGCGCGCGUAGGUGGCUUCGUAAGUCCGUUGUGAAAGUCAAAGGCUCAACCUUUGAAAGCCGAUGGAUACUGUGGAGCUAGAGUACGGAAGAGGCGAGUGGAAUUCCUGGUGUAGCGGUGGAAUGCGCAGAUAGUCGGUAAGGAAGACCAGUGGCGAAGGCGGAUCUCUGGACAGUUACUGACACUGAGGCACGAAGGCCAGGGGAGCAAACGGGAUUAGACUACCCG
rnacentral:rRNA from 1 species